UGGGGAAUCUUGCACAAUGGGGGCAACCCUGAUGCAGCGACGCCGCGUGAGCGAUGAAGCCCUUCGGGGCGUAAAGCUCUUUCGACCGGAACGAUAAUGACGGUACCGGGAGAAGAAGCUGCGGCUAACUACGUGCCAGCAGCCGCGGUAAUACGUAGGCAGCAAGCGGUGUUCGGAGUUACUGGGCGUAAAGAGUGCGUAGGCGGUUUUCUAAGUUCGGUGUGAAAUCUCCCGGCUUAACUGGGAGGGUGCGCCGAAGACUGGGAAGCUGGAGUGUGGGAAAGGCAGGCGGAAUUCCUGGUGUAGCGGUGAAAUGCGUAGAUAUCAGGAGUAACACCGGCGGUGUAGACGGCUUGCUAGACCAUAACUGACGCUGAGGCACGAAAGCG
rnacentral:rRNA from 1 species